UAAACUGAAAGGUCAGUCUAAUUUAUUUGUAUUGAUACUCUUCGCUAAACUUUUGUCUGCACAACUAUAUUCAUUUUCAGCUGGCAUACACAUUAGCCAUGAAAUUUCAUGUUUUUUCAUUUACUAGCUUUGCUCCUUUAUACAGGAGGGAAUUCUGGGGUCAUGGAUAUGGUGCUACUCAUGUUUUCUGAUAAGAUUGUACCAGUAAAGAAGGCCUUUUUUUCAUACAAGCAUUGUCAUUUUGAAACAAGUCUCCCCAUGGUUUCGGAGAUAUGUUUAAAUAUAUGCACUCCACUCUCAUGCGAGAGUGUUUUGUUUAUGUUUAAAUAUAUGCACUCCACUCUUAUGCGAGAGUGUUUUGUUUCUGAGUUGUAAAAGUACUGUUUCUAUCUUUCACAUUCUGCUUUGGUUGUAUUUAUUUUGUUUCAUUCUUGUAAACUGUUGCUUUCAUCUAUCAUUGUUCUGUUGAAAGACAAUGUUAUUCCAAACAAAUAAAGUGUUGUGUGUCUUAUUUCCUACUCAGUGUGAUGAAUGAAACAGCCUCUCUGCACUUUCAGGUAGGGGUAAAGCUCGUCUACAUGUUACCCUUCCCAGACCCCACUUUGUGGGACUAUACUGGGUAGUUGUUGUUGUCGUCUUUUAGAUGAAUUCAAAUUAUUCCUAAUUGGAAGGUUUCUAGUUCAAGUUUCGAAUCCAUUGUUUGCAAUUGUUUGCAAAAAGUGAGAUUAUUCACUUAGAAAAUAUGACAUGUUACGACAUGUUAAAAUUGAUAUUACAAAGAUUCUUUACGUUAUCGGUGUAUAUAAACUACAUCCACCUUAUCCGAAACUGUUGAAAUGCAU
rnacentral:lncRNA from 1 species